GACGAACGCUGGCGGCGUGCUUAACACAUGCAAGUCGAGCGGUAAGGCCCUUUCGGGGGUACACGAGCGGCGAACGGGUGAGUAACACGUGGGUGACCUGCCCUCAGCUCUGGGAUAAGCCUGGGAAACUGGGUCUAAUACUGGAUAUGACUCCACGGUGCAUGUCGUGGGGUGGAAAGCCUUGUGCGGCUGAGGAUGGGCCCGCGGCCUAUCAGCUUGUUGGUGGGGUGANGGCCUACCAAGGCGACGACGGGUAGCCGGCCUGAGAGGGCGACCGGCCACACUGGGACUGAGACACGGCCCAGACUCCUACGGGAGGCAGCAGUGGGGAAUCUUGCGCAAUGGGCGUAAAGCCUGACGCAGCGACGCCGCGUGAGGGAUGACGGCC
rnacentral:rRNA from 1 species